UACGUAGGGUGCAAGCGUUGUCCGGAAUUAUUGGGCGUAAAGAGCUCGUAGGCGGUCUGUCGCGUCUGCUGUGAAAACUCAGGGCUUAACCCUGGGCCUGCAGUGGGUACGGGCAGACUAGAGUGAUGUAGUGGAGACUGGAAUUCCUGGUGUAGCGGUGAAAUGCGCAGAUAUCAGGAGGAACACCGAUGGCGAAGGCAGGUCUCUGGGCAUUAACUGACGCUGAGGAGCGAAAGCAUGGGGAGCGAACAGG
rnacentral:rRNA from 1 species